CAUAGAAGAGAGUAGUACAAAUUCAAGCACUUAUUACAGCAACACUAUCAAGCUAGUGAAGUCCUUGUAUCUCACCCUCAUCGUAGUAAUACUUGACAGAUAAAGAUAUGCUCAUCGCAGUCGGAAGAUGGAAGGCAAAACUUUUAUUCUAAGUGUGUUCGUAAUGAGUCUAUUCAUGGCAAAGAAGAAUGUGCAAGCCUUUGUGGCUGCAUAACUGUUACUAGUUCCCGGUGUCCUAGCAACAAUCCAUACAUCAUUAUCGAAAAAACAGGUAAUGAUCAUGCCAUUGAAUACUGCAAUGUUGGGUGUGUAUCCUCUGUGUGUGGUGCUUUAACAUCUCUCCAUAAUUCCGAUGCAAGUGAAAUCGUGAAGGGAACGGUUGAAAAAUGUGCCAACGCAUGUUCUACAAUCUGCUCCAAGGGCUCGAUGAAUGCAGUGGAAACUGCCUAGAUCGACAACCAUAUCUAUAAGAUACCACGUACAUCUUGCUAUCUGGCUGAAGAGGGUGGUAAUCUUUUAUAGUGCUUUUUCCCUAUUUUCAAUAAUUGUCGUGUAUGUGACAAAAACGUUAUGAAAUCUUGUGUUCAAAUUUUAAUAAUUAAGUUGUUUCAAGUUUAUGUAAUGUAAG